rnacentral:rRNA from 1 species
UACGAAGGGGGCGAGCGUUGUUCGGAUUUACUGGGCGUAAAGGGCGCGCAGGCGGCUCAUUUUGUCAGGCGUGAAAGCCCCCGGGCUUAACCUGGGACUGCGUUUGAUACGGAUGGGCUAGAGUUCGGGAGAGGAGAGUGGAAUUCCCAGUGUAGAGGUGAAAUUCGUAGAUAUUGGGAAGAACACCGGUGGCGAAGGCGGCUCUCUGGACCGAGACUGACGCUGAGGCGCGAAAGCGUGGGGAGCAAACAGG